UACGUAGGUUGCGAGCGUUGUCCGGAUUUACUGGGCGUAAAGCGCGCGCAGGUGGUCCUGAAAGUCGAGCGUGAAAGCUCCCGGCCCAACUGGGAGAGGCCGUUCGAAACUUCAGGACUUGAAGGCGGGAGAGGCAAAUGGAAUUUCCGGUGUAGCGGUAAAAUGCGUAGAUACCGGAAGGAACACCAGUGGCGAAAGCGAUUUGCUGGCCCGCCCUUGACACUCAGGCGCGAAAGCUAGGGGAGCGACCGGGAUUAGAUACCCCGUUAGUCCUAGCCGUAAACAAUGGGCACUAGGUGUUGUCGGUAUCGACCCCGGCAGUGCCGAAGCUAACGCAUUAAGUGCCCCGCCUGGGGAGUACGACCGCAAGGUUAAA
rnacentral:rRNA from 1 species